rnacentral:rRNA from 1 species
CCAUACACCGAAGCUACGGACGCUGUUUACAGCGUGGUAGAGGAGCGUUCUGUAAGCCGUUGAAGGGAAAGCUGUAAGGCAUCCUGGAGGUAUCAGAAGUGCGAAUGCUGACAUGAGUAACGAUAAGGGGAGUGAAAAACUUCCCCGCCGGAAGACCAAGGGUUCCUAUCCAAUGCUAAUCAGGGUAGGGUGAGUCGACCCCUAAGGCGAGGCUGAAGAGCGUAGUCGAUGGGAAACAGGUUAAUAUUCCUGUACUUCUUGUUAUUGCGAUGGAGUGACGGAGAAGGCUAGGCCAGCACGGCGUUGGUUGUCCGUGUUUAAGGUAGUAGGCAAGUGACUUAGGCAAAUCCGGGUCACUCUUUAAAAGAGAAUGCCGAGAAUUGAUGACGAGUCCUCUUUUGGACGAAGUGGUUGAUGCCAUGCUUCCAGGAAAAACUUCUAAGCUUCAGAUAACAAGAAAUCGUACCCCAAACCGACACAGGUGGUCAGGUAGAGAAUACCAAGGCGCUUGAGAGAACUCGGGUGAAGGAACUAGGCAAAAUGGUACCGUAACUUCGGGAGAAGGUACGCCGGUGCUGGUGAUGGGACUUGCUCCCUCAGCUGGCGCUGGUCGAAGAUACUAGGUGGCUGCGACUGUUUAUUAAAAACACAGCACUCUGCAAACACGAAAGUGGACGUAUAGGGUGUGACGCCUGCCCGGUGCUUGAAGGUUAAUUGAUGGGGUUAGCUUCGGCGAAGCUCUUGAUCGAAGCCCAAGUAAACGGCGGCCGUAACUAUAACGGUCCUAAGGUAGCGAAAUUCCUUGUCGGGUAAGUUCCGACCUGCACGAAUGGCGUAACGAUGGCCACACUGUCUCCACCCGAGACUCAGUGAAAUUGAAAUUGCGGUUAAGAUGCCGUAUAUCCGCGGCUAGACGGAAAGACCCCGUGAACCUUUACUAUAGCUUCGCAGUGGACUUUGAUAUUACUUGUGUAGGAUAGCUGGGAGGCUUUGAAGUGUGGACGCCAGUCUGCAUGGAGCCAAUCUUGAAAUACCAGCCUGGUACUAUUGAGGUUCUAACUCAGGUCCCUGAUCGGGAUCGAGGACAUUGUGUGGUGGGUAGUUUGACUGGGGCGGUCUCCUCCCAAAGAGUAACGGAGGAGUACGAAGGUGCGCUCAGCAUGGUCGGAAAUCAUGCAACGAGUAUAAAGGCAUAAGCGCGCUUGACUGCGAGACAGACACGUCGAGCAGGUACGAAAGUAGGUCUUAGUGAUCCGGUGGUUCUGUAUGGAAGGGCCAUCGCUCAACGGAUAAAAGGUACUCCGGGGAUAACAGGCUGAUACCGCCCAAGAGUUCACAUCGACGGCGGUGUUUGGCACCUCGAUGUCGGCUCAUCACAUCCUGGGGCUGAAGCCGGUCCCAAGGGUAUGGCUGUUCGCCAUUUAAAGUGGUACGCGAGCUGGGUUUAGAACGUCGUGAGACAGUUCGGUCCCUAUCUGCCGUGGACGUUUGAGAUUUGAGAAGAGUUGCUCCUAGUACGAGAGGACCGGAGUGAACGAACCUCUGGUGUUCGGGUUGUCAUGCCAAUGGCAUUGCCCGGUAGCUAUGUUCGGACAGGAUAACCGCUGAAAGCAUCUAAGCGGGAAGCCCCCUUCAAGAUGAGAUCUCACUGGGGCCUUGAGCCCCCUGAAGAGCCGUUCAAGACCAGGACGUUGAUAGGCUGGGUGUGUAAGCGUUGUGAGGCGUUGAGCUAACCAGUACUAAUUGCUCGUGAGGCUUGACCAU